CCUGUCCUUCUGCCCUUGUACACCAUGUGGUGUAUCCUAAAGCAAAGAUUAUGCUUUAACAUCUCGGUCUGUGUGGUUCUCCAACCUUCCCUGAUGGCUGUGGGACAGACACCAGUGAGCAAGUGCUGUCAAUAAGCAUGUAACAGACCUCCGGCCUGCGCUCCAGCCACCUUCAUUCCUGGAUGGCCCCGGCUGACUUGCUGUAUCCAUCCUUCAAGUUCAAGGAGUGAACCCAGUUAGGGUCACUGCCACUGACUGCAGCUUGCUGCCUUCUGCCCUGUGAGUCAUCAUCCAAGUUUUUGGGUCACACUUGGAGAGCCAAAGCCUUCCCUGAAGCUGAGGUCAUAAAACUGAAAAAGACAAAGCUCUGCUUUCAGAGAGCAGGUUUGGUAGGUGGUGAGCAAAGCCAUCUCUGAGAGGCCAGCCUGACUUUGGGUAUGGGAGUCCCCAAGAAGCCCAGCAGGAGAGGGCUGACCCAUUCAGCUCCCCCAGCCCCAACAGCCAAAGAUUACACCUGGAUCAAGAGCUCAGGAGCGGGAAGCUGCUUCUCCUAGUCACUAUGGACACGGCACCCUCGGGACCUGGGCUUCGGCGAGGAUAGAAUAUGACAGUCACAAGAUUCACACCUCAAGCCAUGAGACGUGAUCUUCUUGCUCCAUCCCCUGGCAGGGUCACUGGUAGUCGGUUCCAUAGCUACAGUGGUGCACACAGCACUCCUCACCUCUGUGUUGCAGGAACUGCCACUAUUUUCUCCACCUUUUUUUUUUUAACCUUUGCCAUAUCCAAGUACGUUAUCAAGCAGGAUUUGUGGAUACUGAGACUGGCUGAAUACUUACACAUAUAUUUCUCUGAUCUGCAACCGAAAGGGGGACACACACGAGAAAGACGACUUUUGUCAAAACAGAUGGAUGAAGAAAUCAGUGGGAGACCUGGUUCACAGAGAAUCCCUCUCCUAUGUAGCUGCCUCACUCAAGCCCUCCUUCACUCCCAUGCCUGGGACUCGUUGAGGCACAGCAAAGCCCAGCCCCUCUGCUGGAUGGGAAGAACUCAGGAGGGAGCUCCAGAGGACUCAUCCUGUGUAAAGGGCUGAGACCUCCGUGGAGAGCUCACACCAGCUCAACUCUCCCUGUCUUCCUGCUUCCCUUACUUCCAGGAACACUGCCCUCAGCAUGGAAUCUCAAUCUCAGGGUCUGAUUCCAGGAACCCAACCUACAGCCAUUUAAUCUUCCUAAAUUUUACUUGAACUAUUAUUGUAUAAAUAAUGAUUUGAACUUUAAUUAAUAUUUGUGCUUCACUACUUAAACUUUUUUUUUAAAGGUUCUGUUGUGAUUCACAAUGUUCAAUUGAAAGGAAAAGACAUCUAUAUCUCUCUUUUUUUAAAAUCUACUCAUUUCUAUCCAUCUCCAUUUUCAGAUAUUGCUUAAAUUAUUAGAGCCAGAACUCUGAAAUCCAGUUCCAUCAUAUCCCAGUUUCCUACUUCAAUAGGUUAUAUAUCCCUUUUGUGUUUCAAUUUUCUCAUAUGUAAAAUGGGAUUAACAUUAAUGUCCCAAAAUAGAUUAUUGUAAAGAUUAAGUGAGCUAUCAUAUAUAAAUCAUUAAGAUUGAUAUUUAGAAAAAAUAUGUGCUAAGA